UGAGGAUUGUUUAUGAGAGUAUUAUAAGUCACUACAUUUGGUAAGCAAAGUGUUGUUUCUCAAACGAAGUGACUUAUGAUAAUCUCAUGAAUGGAUUUUGCA
rfam:Arabidopsis thaliana chromosome 1, complete sequence.